GUCGAACGCUGAACCGGUUUCGGCCGGGGAUGAGUGGCGAACGGGUGAGUAACACGUGGGUAAUCUGCCCUGCACUCUGGGAUAAGCCUUGGAAACGAGGUCUAAUACCGGAUAUCACCUUUCUAGGCAUCUAGAGGGGUUGAAAGUUCUGGCGGUGCAGGAUGAACCCGCGGCCUAUCAGCUUGUUGGUGGGGUAGUGGCCUACCAAGGCGACGACGGGUAGCCGGCCUGAGAGGGUGACCGGCCACACUGGGACUGAGACACGGCCCAGACUCCUACGGGAGGCAGCAGUGGGGAAUAUUGCACAAUGGGCGCAAGCCUGAUGCAGCGACGCCGCGUGAGGGAUGACGGCCUUCGGGUUGUAAACCUCUUUCGCCAGGGACGAAGCGCAAGUGACGGUACCUGGAUAAGAAGCACCGGCUAACUACGUGCCAGCAGCCGCGGUAAUACGUAGGGUGCGAGCGUUGUCCGGAUUUAUUGGGCGUAAAGAGCUCGUAGGCGGUUUGUCGCGUCGGCCGUGAAAUCUCCACGCUUAACGUGGAGCGUGCGGUCGAUACGGGCAGACUUGAGUUCGGUAGGGGAGACUGGAAUUCCUGGUGUAGCGGUGAAAUGCGCAGAUAUCAGGAGGAACACCGGUGGCGAAGGCGGGUCUCUGGGCCGAUACUGACGCUGAGGAGCGAAAGCGUGGGGAGCGAACAGGAUUA
rnacentral:rRNA from 1 species